UACGCAGGGGGCAAGCGUUGCUCGGAAUUACUGGGCGUAAAGCGUGCGCAGGCGGGUUUGUAAGUCAGAGGUGAAAUCCCCGGGCUCAACCUGGGAACUGCAUUUGUGACUGCAUCGCUGGAGUGCGGCAGAGGGGGAUGGAAUUCCGCGUGUAGCAGUGAAAUGCGUAGAUAUGCGGAGGAACACCGAUGGCGAAGGCAAUCCCCUGGGCCUGCACUGACGCUCAUGCACGAAAGCGUGGGGAGCAAACAGG
rnacentral:rRNA from 1 species